AUUUUCUUAAUUAUUUAUCUUUCGCCAUAACAAAAAAUAAUAAUUUAUCUUUCGUAACAAAUUCCAAUUCCGGUUAACAGUAGAUCGAAGCUUGUGUUCCCUCCUAUCCACCCUCAUAUUUAGGGUUUUUUCAAACCCAAAAUUCCCGAUUAUUGUAUACCCAAACUUUUCCCAGGGAUUAUCAACUCUUAUGUCUGCAACUUCGGCCAUGUCGAUCUCUCAGGAAUUAUACCCAUCCCAAGACGACCUUCUUUACGAAGAAGAGCUUCUCCGAAACCCCUUUAGCCUCAAGCUAUGGUGGCGUUACCUCAUCGCUCGAUCCGAAUCUCCAUUCAAGAAGCGUUUUAUAAUCUACGAGCGAGCACUCAAGGCCCUUCCUGGGAGCUACAAGCUUUGGAACGCUUACCUUCGCGAACGCCUCGAGCUUGUUCGCAAUUUACCCAUCACUCACUUCCAGUAUGAAACCCUCAACAACACUUUUGAAAGAGCCCUGGUUACUAUGCACAAAAUGCCUAAAAUUUGGACUAUGUACUUGCAAACUUUGACGGAGCAGAAGUUGGUCACUCGGACUCGCCGGACCUUCGACAGAGCUCUGUGUGCUCUUCCGGUGACGCAGCACGACCGCAUUUGGGACCCGUACCUGAAGUUCGUAAGCCAAACCGGUAUCCCAAUUGAGACCUCGCUUCGGGUUUAUCGCAGGUAUUUGAAAUAUGACCCUGCCCAUAUUGAAGAUUUCAUUGAGUUCUUGAUAAAUUCUAGUCUUUGGCAAGAGGCCGCCGAGAGGCUGGCCUCAGUUUUGAAUGAUGAUCAGUUUUAUUCGAUAAAGGGGAAAACGAAACAUAGGCUGUGGCUGGAAUUGUGUGAUUUGCUUACUAAGCAUGCUACGGAGGUGUCAGGCCUCAAUGUAGAUGCUAUUAUUAGAGGUGGGAUUAGGAAAUUUACAGACGAGGUGGGACGGUUAUGGACCUCACUGGCAGACUAUUACAUUAGGAGGAAUUUGCACGAGAAAGCUAGGGAUAUAUUUGAGGAGGGUAUGACUACUGUGGUAACGGUAAGAGAUUUUAGUGUAAUUUUUGAUUCUUAUGCUGGGUUUGAAGAUAGUAUGCUUGUCCAUAAGAUGGAGACAGUGGAUUUGAGUGAUGAAGAGGAGGAAGAAGAAAAGGGAUUAGAAGAGGAUGGAAAUGAGGAGGAAGAAGAUCUUCGAUUGGAUGUUAACUUGUCUUUGGCUGAGUUUGAAAAGAAAAUGCUAAAUGGGUUUUGGUUACAUGAUGAUAAGGAUGUAGAUUUGAGGUUGGCUCGAUUGGAGCAUCUUAUGGAUAGAAGACCUAUACUGGCUAAUAGUGUUCUUUUACGACAAAAUCCCCAUAAUGUAGAGCAGUGGCACCGAAGAGUGAAGCUCUUUGAGGGCAAUCCCACAAAGCAGAUACUUACUUACACAGAGGCGGUGAGGACAGUUGAUCCAAUGAAAGCGGUGGGGAAGCCCCAUACGUUGUGGGUUGCGUUUGCUAAGUUGUACGAGAAUCACAAAGAUAUUGCAAAUGCAAGAGUGAUUUUUGAUAAAGCAGUUCAGGUGAACUACAAGACAGUGGAUAAUUUGGCUAGUCUUUGGUGUGAGUGGGCAGAAAUGGAAUUGAGGCAUAAGAAUUUCAAAGGAGCACUGGAACUAAUGAGGCGGGCCACCGCAGAGCCAUCCGUUGAGGUGAAACGCAGAGGUAUCAUCGUAAAUUGGUUUUCUGUGUGUUUUUCUUAUGUCCUGGUCUGCUACUUUCGAGUAUGUUACUACAUUUUAUUAGAGUGCGUGAGUUGGAUUUUUUUUUUAAAAAAAAAGAAGAAGCUUGACUAAUUCAGUAUUGUAAUUGUUCUGUUUGAGUUCAACAUGCUAGAGUGUUGCCUUUGUACAUCAUUAUUUUAUUGUGUUACUAACCUGAAAAUGGUAUUUCAGGCGCCUGCUGAUGCAAAGAAACCUCUGUAUCUUCAAUUUGCAAAGCUGGAGGAGGAUUAUGGUCUAGCAAAGCGCGCUAUGAAGGUCUAUGAUGAAGCAACUAAGGCUGUUCCAAACCAUGAGAAAUUGAGCAUGUAUGAAAUCUACAUUGCCCGUGCUGCAGAGAUAUUUGGCAUCCCCAAAACAAGGGAGAUAUAUGAGCAAGCAAUAGAAUCCGGUCUUCCAGACAAAGAUGUGAAGACAAUGUGCUUGAAGUAUGCUGAGCUUGAGAAGAGCUUAGGAGAAAUUGAUCGUGCUCGGGGAGUUUAUAUAUUUGCAUCACAGUUUUCGGAUCCACGGUCUGAUGUAGAUUUCUGGAACAAAUGGCAUGAGUUUGAGGUGCAACAUGGAAAUGAAGAUACCUUCCGAGAGAUGCUUCGAAUUAAGCGAAGUGUUUCUGCAAGCUAUAGCCAGACACACUUUAUUCUACCCGAGUAUAUGAUGCAAAAGGAUCAGAGGUUGAACAUGGACGAGGCAAAAGACAAGUUGAAACAGGCUGGAGUUCCUGAAGAUGAAAUGGCUGCUUUAGAGAGGCAGUUGGCACCAGUGGCAAACGGUACUACCACCAAAGAUGGUAACAGAAAAGUGGGCUUUGUGAGUGCUGGAGUAGAAUCACAGACGGACGGGGGGAUUAAGGUUGCUGCAAAUCAUGAAGACAUUGAGCUACCCGAUGCAAGUGAUUCAGAAGAUGAUGAAGGGGUUGAAAUUGCACAAAAGGAGGUCCCAUCUGCUGUUUUUGGAGAGUUGGCUAACAAGAGAAAGGAGGCUGAAAAAGAUGAGGGCGGAGAUGGUGCUGCUGCGACCAGGGACGGUGACAGCCACCUUGGCGCCCUUGAGAGAAUAAAAAGGCUAAAACGAGGCGGUUGAUUUAAGAACAUUUUGAUGCAUAUGUCGACUAACUGUUGAGGCCCCUGUAUUCUGGUUUGUAUCUUGGACCUGUAUAUCUUAUGCAAGAAAGUAGCUGUAGUUUUCUGUUCACACUCAAAAUGUUACUACUGGGUAGCGGAGUCUGAAAGGGGCUUCUUGUUGUUUGCAGAUUUUGAAAGAGGUUCAACGGAAUGAAGUUACUACAUUUCUAUUAGGGUUAAUUUCGAUUAGUACCCUGAACUCUUACUCUUAAGGCAUGCUUGUCCCUACUCUUAAUUUUAAUUAUUACAUACCUUAAGCUUUCCAAUUAUUUGCAAUUUGGUUCCGGUGUUAAAUUUGACAUCAAAAUUUCCGUUAAUUGCUUGCAUGGCAGGUAUGGGUCUCACCUAUUCACUUAUUUCGAUGUCAGUUGAUGAGUAUUUUCGGGUAAUUGGUGUCUUCUCAUCCAUAAAGAAUUGACAUUGAAAUAAGUGAAUAGGUGGGACCCAGACUUGUCACGUAAGCAAUUAACAAAAAUUUUGACAAUGAAGUUAACUCUGGAACCAUAUUGCACAAGAUUGAGAAGUUUAGGGUAUAUAAUCUUUAAUAUUGAGAGUGCAUGGGCAAAUGUGCUUUAAAGGUAAGAGUUCGGAGUACUAAAUUGAAAUUAACCAUUUCCACUAA